rnacentral:tRNA from 3 species
GCCGGCUUAGCUCAGCGGUAGAGCAACCGCCUUGUAAGCGGUAGGUCGUCAGUUCAAUCCUGACAGCCGGCACCA